UUCUUCCUCCUCCCUCUCCUUCCUUAUCUCUCUCUUUUCUUAUCCCCUUGGCUAUGGCAGCGACGUGUACUGGAGUGGCGGCGGCGGCGAGCUGGCGAGGGCCGGAGCGGGGCGUCGGCCGAUUCCCCUCCUCUUCCUUGGCUCCCCAAAAUCCCUAAUCCCUGCAUCGCAUUUCGCCUCUUCCCGCGCGCAACCUCCAUAUCGCACGCCGUCGGCCGCCGGCGUCCACUCUCAUCAUAGAUUACCGCCUGCGCGAGCCAUGGACCAUGUCGGGAACUCAGGGUUGGCCGCACUCGAGGGCGGGGGAGCGGGUAAUCCGCCGGAGCCGGCGCCGCACCUGGGUCAUCCUGCAAACGAGGGGAGCACAAGCACCAAGAGAGGAGCGCGUGCUGCUCGGGGAGGAGAUUCGUGGCGUGGUGGCGUGCGAGGGGGUGGAGCUGGUGGAGCGGCACGAGCGGGCGCGGCAGUGGGCGGCGCGGAUGAAAGCGGACGGCAUGGAGCCGGUGGGGUCGUACGGCCAUGCCUUUUUCUUCUGCUGGCACAAGAGGCCGCUUUGCGCCAUCUCUGCGUGGCGGCCGGCGGCGGCGCGCCGCCACCACACUCGGUCGUAGCAUCAUCAUCGUCAUCCAAGAUGCCGCACGGUUGAAUUUGCAACCUGCCCGCCGUUGCCACCGCUCCAGCCCUCGCCCGCUCGCCGCCGCCACAGCUCCAGCACCCAUCAUCCCGCCCGUCACCGCCGCAGCCGAAGGGGAUAAGAAAAGAGAGAGAUAAGGAAGAGAGAGGGAGGAGGUAGAAGGGUCGGAGAGAGAGAGGAUGAUACGUGGGCCCCAAAUGUCUGUGGGUCUCACAAUAUAUAUAUAUAUAUAUAUAUUGUAAAUGACAAAUGGGUCCCAUAUAUAUAUUUUUCAUUCUAAUGCCACGUAAAUGCCACGUAGGAUGAUGACCAGCUCAACAUCGCCACAUCAGCGGCACAUCAGCAAAACCACCCUCCAAAACCGCUGAAUUGUACUGGUUUCAAUAGUUUAGGGAGUCGUUCUAUCCGGUUUUAUGUUGAGGGGUACGAAUUAGAUUCGGCCUACUUUUAAGGGAGUCAAAGUGGACUUUUUACUUUCUUUUUUGAUAAUUGAAGCCCACAGCUUGUGUUCGUUUA